UAAGCUCAAGAUCUUGUUGACAUUAUUAAGGCACAGCUUCAAAGGCCCUUUUGUUGACUAUGCUGCAUUCAAAAACAUACCCUUUUGAAGGUAUGCUAGCUGCAAAGGUUGAAUAUGAAUGCAGAAUGAGAGGAGCACAGCGAAUGGAAUUCAAUCCUAUCGUUGGUGG